rnacentral:rRNA from 1 species
AUGAACGCUGGCGGCGUGCCUAAUCCAUGCAAGUCGAGCGAACAGACGAGGAGCUUGCUCCUCUGACGUUAGCGGCGGACGGGUGAGUAACGCGUGGAUAACCUACCUAUAAGACUGGGAUAACUUCGGGAAACCGGAGCUAAUACCGGAUAAUAUAUUGAACCGCAUGGUUCAAUAGUGAAAGACGGUUUUGCUGUCACUUAUAGAUGGAUCCGCGCCGCAUUAGCUAGUUGGUAAGGUAACGGCUUACCAAGGCAACGAUGCGUAGCCGACCUGAGAGGGUGAUCGGCCACACUGGAACUGAGACACGGUCCAAACUCCUACGGGAGGCAGCAGUAGGGAAUCUUCCGCAAUGGGCGAAAGCCUGACGGAGCAACGCCGCGUGAGUGAUGAAGGUCUUCGGAUCGUAAAACUCUGUUAUUAGGGAAGAACAAAUGUGUAAGUAACUAUGCACGUCUUGACGGUACCUAAUCAGAAAGCCACGGCUAACUACGUG